rnacentral:rRNA from 1 species
UACGUAGGGCGCGAGCGUUGUCCGGAAUUAUUGGGCGUAAAGAGCUCGUAGGCGGCUUGUCACGUCGGGUGUGAAAGACCGGGGCUUAACUCCGGUUCUGCAUUCGAUACGGGCGGGCUGGGAUUCGGUAGGGGAGACUGGAAUUCCUGGUGUAGCGGUGAAAUGCGCAGAUAUCAGGAGGAACACCGGUGGCGAAGGCGGGUCUCUGGGCCGUAACUGACGCUGAGGAGCGAAAGCAUGGGGAGCGAACAGG